rnacentral:rRNA from 1 species
AUUGAACGCUGGCGGCAUGCCUUACACAUGCAAGUCGAACGGCAGCACGGGAGCAAUCCUGGUGGCGAGUGGCGAACGGGUGAGUAAUAUAUCGGAACGUGCCCAGUCGUGGGGAUAACGUAGCGAAAGCUACGCUAAUACCGCAUACGAUCUAUGGAUGAAAGCGGGGGAUCGCAAGACCUCGCGCGAUUGGAGCGGCCGAUAUCAGAUUAGGUAGUUGGUGAGGUAAAGGCUCACCAAGCCGACGAUCUGUAGCUGGUCUGAGAGGAUGACCAGCCACACUGGGACUGAGACACGGCCCAGACUCCUACGGAGGCAGCAGUGGGGAAUUUUGGACAAUGGCGCAAGCCUGAUCCAGCAAUGCCGCGUGCAGGAUGAAGGCCU